UACGUAGGGGGGCAAGCGUUUGUCCGGAUUUAUUGGGCGUAAAGAGCGUGUAGGCGGCUUGGUAGGUCCGCUGUGAAAACUCGAGGCUCAACCUCGAGAUGUCGGCGGAAACCACUUGGCUAGAGUCCGGAAGAGGAGAGUGGAAUUCCUGGUGUAGCGGUGAAAUGCGCAGAUAUCAGGAGGAACACCGGUGGCGAAGGCGGGUCUCUGGGCCGAUACUGACGCUGGAGGAGCGAAAGCGUGGGGAGCGAACAGG
rnacentral:rRNA from 1 species